rnacentral:siRNA from 1 species
UGGAACUGCCGAGAGAGCUCC